CUGACUCCGCCCCUCCGCUUGCCUCUUUAGAUGGAGAAUGCAGAUCCUUGCAGGAGAAGGCAUGCCGUUCCUACAAUUGAAUACCACAGUAAGAGUUUUUAUGGUCCAGAAUGACUCUGUUGCCAGCAUCUUCUGAUAGGAGGAAUUACUUUUCCAGGCAGUGCAAUCAUGCUAUUUAUCAAAAGAAACACUGGACAAUCAGAAUGGACUUCAGAGCUGUGUCCUGAUCCAUCUGGCCAACUCUCGGCAAGAAACUUCUUUGUUCUUUAGAGACUGAGAUUUAUCCCCAAGCACUAACAGAAUUGAAACAGAAGAAGUUGGAAUUAUUCAUCUUUGGUGGCCCUCUCAUGCUCCUCCUAACCACCCACCUCACCAUGCUUUGGGUCUCCAUCCAGAAUGUGUUCUUCGAGGACAGUAACUCCCACAAGCAAAGCAGCAUCUGGCCGUGUGGGUGAUCUAUUCUCCAGCCUCUCAAAGUU